UCUCUGGUAGCCUAUCGGUUAGUACACGUGCCUGUCAUUAUCUCGUAUUGAUACACGCCCGAAAGCUGGGUUCGACUCCCAGCCAGAGAG